GACAGAGGGGGCAAGCGUUGCUCGGAAUCACUGGGCGUAAAGGGCGCGUAGGCGGGAUGCAAGUCGGUCGUGAAAUCCCUGGGCUCAACUCAGGGGGGUCGGCCGAUACUGCCAUUCUUGAGGGAUGCAGAGGAGACUGGAAUCCCGGUGUAGCGGUGAAAUGUGUAGAGAUCGGGAGGAACACCGGUGGCGAAGGCGGGUCUCUGGACCAGCACU
rnacentral:rRNA from 1 species